rnacentral:lncRNA from 1 species
GCUGGAUUUCCACCCCUGGCAGCCCGCUGCCCAGCGGCUCUCCAUCCAGCAGCCAGGAGAUGUGUGCUGCCGGGGGCUCUGCGGAGCAGCGCAGCACCACGGGGCCACCGGGCUUCUGGACGGCAGAGAUGGGCUCGGAAGUAAAGCGGGGAGUCAAGUCUGAGCUGCUGGCGGAGAGGAGCGCGGCGGCAGCAAGCAGUGCAUGCAGGCAGGCAGGGGCCGACUGCAUAGCGCCCGGACAGCAGGCACCACAACGGCGCUCCGGGGCUGACAGCUCCGCUCAGCGCCGCCGUUCGGGGCUCGGGGCGCAGCGGCUCGUGCCGGGGGUGCGAGGCGAGCGCCGCUCCGCGUGCAUGCGGGCAGCCCGCAACGAGUCACGCCGCGCCCGGCCGCCGGCGGCCGCAUCCAGCCGGGAAACGCAGCUCCCGCGUCCCCCAGCCCGCAGGGAAGCGGUCCCGGCCCCGCUGCCUGCAGGCGGGGCGGGCGACCCGGCCGGGCGCCUCCCGCCCGCUCCCGCGAGCCCCGCCGCCCCCGCCCCGCGGAGCGUACCAAGGGCCGGAGCAGCGGGGGGAGAGCGGCGGAGGCCCCCGCGGGAGGAAGCGGGGCGGUGGGCGCGGGCC